rnacentral:lncRNA from 1 species
UGUGCUUCUCGGUGCACCGGGGCGAGGGCGGCCCCCCCCCGGCGGCGUCCGACUGCGGCGCCGAGGGCUUCGCCAUCAACCUGCCCUGGGAGCAGCCCGGCAUGACGGACGGCGACUACCUGGCGGCCUUCCUGCGCCUGCUGCUGCCGGUGGCCCUGGAGUUCCAGCCGCAGCUGGUGCUCGUCGCCGCUGGCUUCGGCGCCCUCAUCGGGGACCCCGAGGGGGGGAUGAGCGUGACGCCCGGCUGCUUCGCCCACCUCACCCACCUGCUCAUGGCCCUGGCCGGCGGCCGCCUCGUGCUCUGCCUGCAGGUGAGGGCUGCGCGGGGGCCAUAGGGGCUGCGCGGGGGGCCAUAGGGACCGCCCAGGGGCUAUUGGAGGGCGCCACGGGGCUGUACGGACCGCUCCGGGGUGACGUAUGGGAGCUAUACGGGAUACGUCUGGGCGUUAUGGGGGCCCUGCUCAUCACCCCGGGAGUUAUAGGAGCCGUGUGGGCAUACCUGGAUGCUAUAGGGGCUAUACGGAGCGCCCGUGGGUGUUACAGGGGUGGCACCGUCCUCCCAAGAGCAUCGUAGGGGCCGUACGGGCAGCCCCCAAGUCUUAUAGAGGCCAUGGGGACCCCCCCAGGGGUGGUAUAGGGGUCCUGGGGGUGACCUGGGGGCAGUAUAGGGGAUGUAUGGGUAACACAGGGGUACUAUAGGAGUUAUAUGGGUGACCCGGGGGUGGUAUAGGGGUCCUAGGGGUGAUCCAAGGGUGGUAU